GCGAGUAUGGCCCUCACGGGUCUAAUCCACCAUAAACACCUUUGCUGAACCAGUCAGGGGGACUCGGCCGUGAAAGCCCAGGCGAUUAGCGGAAGGGCCCUCCUUUGCAAACCCGUUUAGAAGUCUUGAAAGUACUUUUGUAUAAUCUAGUA
rnacentral:misc_RNA from 1 species